rnacentral:rRNA from 1 species
UAACACGUAGGAGGCGAGCGUUGUCCGGAAUCAUUGGGCGUAAAGAGCGCGCAGGCGGCUUGGCAAGUCGGGUGUGAAAUCCCGGGGCUCAACCCCGGGACUGCAUUCGAUACUGUCAGGCUAGAGGUAGGUAGGGGAGAUCGGAAUUCCUGGUGUAGCGGUGAAAUGCGCAGAUAUCAGGAGGAACACCGGUGGCGAAGGCGGAUCUCUGGGCCUU